AAAAAGUCUAAUCCCCCAAAUUUGGCUCGUUUUCUAUGGACUUUUGAGUUUAUUUAGAAACCGACGAAAUGGUUUAUUUUCUCUUUUUCUGUUUCCUGUCAGGUGUGUGUCUGGGUGUUGAGGUCCAUCAGUCUCCCUCCGAGUUCAUCGUAGAACCUGGCGAUAACGUGCAGAUUUACUGCACCCAUGAUAAAACAGACUACAGGCUGAUGCUCUGGUACCAGCAGUCGCCUGGAGACACAGCUAUGAAGCUCAUUGGAUAUUUGAGCUACGACACUCCACAAAAAGAAGACCAGUUCACAGAUAAUUUCAACAUCAUUGGAAACUUGGGUGGAGAUGCAAAGAAGAACGGCUCUCUAAGUAUCAGAGCUGCAGGAGCUGAUCUCAAUGCAGUUUACUACUGUGCAGCUAGCUAUGCACACUGAUGGGAAACCCUGUCUCCUUAAUACAAAAACUCAGAGCCAACCAACAUUCAUUACAUUUACAUCAGAGCUAGAACUCGCCCCUCC